GACGAACGCUGGCGGCGUGCUUAACACAUGCAAGUCGAACGAAGUGGCGAACGGGUGAGUAACGCGUAAUCAACCUGCCCUGCAGAGGGGGACAACAGUUGGAAACGACUGCUAAUACCGCAUACUGAAGGAGGGGAGUGCGUCGGAUUCGCUAGUUGGAGGGGGAACGGCCCACCAAGGCGAUGAUCAGUAGCCGGUCUUGGAGGGUGAACGGCCCAAUUGGGACUGAGGCACGGCCCAGACUCCUACGGGAGGCAGCAGUGGGAAAUCUUCCGCAAUUGACGAAAUUCCUGCUGAGCAACGCCGCGUGAGUGAUGACGGCCUUCGGGUUGUAAAGCUCUUUUAAUCGGGACGCGGUACCGGAAUAGAAAGCCACGGCUAACUACGUGCCAGCAGCCGCGGUAAUAC
rnacentral:rRNA from 1 species